CAUCAUUUACAUUCCCUGGCUGGAGUUCUAACAAGAGGAAGAAGAAUGUUGCUGUUAGAGACUUUUGUUCUGGCUAUGGUUUGUUCCUAUGGCUCCUCACAAGUGCGUCUGGCCCAGCCUCAACUGUCCAUCACCAGGGAAGGAAAUAAAGCUAUACGAAUUGACUGUCAUGUUUCUCUAUCGGAGGAUUUUGGCAAGGCUUAUAUACACUGGUAUAGACAGAGACCCGGUGCAGCUCCAGAGCGGAUUCUGUUCAUCUCAACGCAGUCUGAAUUUGACAGAGUCUCAGAUAAAGGAAAGUUUAAUGCUGAAAAGAAGAUUGGCCAGUCUACCUGUACCCUGACUAUAAACAAGAUAACCUCCAGUGACAUUGCAACUUACUAUUGUGCCUAUUGGGAUCGCACAGUGUUAGAAAACUGUAGACAGCCUGUACAAAAACCCACUCUGCAUUCUGAGCCACAGCCUUUUGCGUGUAUGAGGCCACUGUCACCUCUCAAAAUUCCUCUCAGCGUGGAGCCACCGGAUGAAACUCUUCAUUGGCUCUGCAGCUAGAUAUGAACAGCAACUGCUGAUUCAGUGCGUAUUUUCCACAUAAAUCACUAAGACCAGGUCAGGUCUAGCAGAACACGAGGUCACCUAGGGCACACAGGGGAGGUAGGCACCCAAUCUCAUUACAAGUCAAUGGGAGUUGUGCGUUUAGCUGCCCCUUGCCCUGUAAAAAAAAAAAAAAAAAAAAAAAAAAAAAAAAAAAAAAAAAAAUUUCCCGCUGAAUAUUAGGUGAAGCCGACAGUCAGUAGUUGCCUGUGGGGGUUAUCGUGGGCUGAGUGGGUGGAGAUUUGUCAUCAGUCUAGAGGAGCAGAACACUUGGGGUGAAAAUCCUGGCUCCAGAGAAGGAAAUGGGGCCAGGCUCUCAUCCCCAUAACUGCCUGACACUACAGUCUCCCAAUCCAGACAUGAUUCAUCUCCUGAAACAGGAAGCAAGUGAAAGUAAAACAGGAGCGCUGGACCCAGUGUGCAGGUGCAAUAAUGUACCUCCUUAU